rnacentral:tRNA from 1 species
GGGAUUAUAGUUAAUUAUAACAUUUAGCUUGCAUCUAAAAAGUAUUGAUAAUCAAUUUUUCUCA